rnacentral:rRNA from 1 species
CAGUCGCCGCGGUAAUACGUAGGUGGCAAGCGUUGUCCGGAAUUAUUGGGCGUAAAGGGCUCGCAGGCGGUUUCUUAGGUCUGAUGUGAAAGCCCCCGGCUCAACCGGGGAGGGUCAUUGGAAACUGGGAAACUUGAGUGCAGAAGAGGAGAGUGGAAUUCCACGUGUAGCGGUGAAAUGCGUAGAGAUGUGGAGGAACACCAGUGGCGAAGGCGACUCUCUGGUCUGUAACUGACGCUGAGGAGCGAAAGCGUGGGGAGCGAACAGGAUUAGAUACCCGCGUAGUCCCUGUCUCUUAUAC